rnacentral:ncRNA from 100 species
GAGACCUCAGGUCAGGCGGGGCUAC